AGCGAACGCUGGCGGCAGGCCUAACACAUGCAAGUCGAGCGGGCACUCUCGGGUGUCUGCGGCGGACGGGUGGGUAACGCGUGGGAACGUGCCCUCUGGUUCGGAAUAACUCAGGGAAACUUGAGCUAAUACCGGAUACGCCCUUUUGGGGAAAGGCGUGCUGCCGGAGGAUCGGCGCGCGGCUGAUUAGCUAGUUGGUGAGGUAACGGCUCAGCAAGGAGACGAUCAGUAGCUGGUCUGAGAGGAUGAUCCGCCACACUGGGACUGGGACAAGGCCCAGAUUCCGGCGGAAGGCAGCAGUGGGGAAUAUGGGACAACGGGCGCAAGCCGAAGGCAGCCAGGCCGCGUAAGUGAUGAAGGCCUUAGGGUUGUAAGGCUCUUUUAUCCGGGACGUUAAUAACGGUACCGAAGGAAUAGACCCCGGCAAACUUCGU
rnacentral:rRNA from 1 species